rnacentral:rRNA from 1 species
GCGGGAAUUGACCGUAGCUCGGUGCGAUCCGCACUAAGGAACAGAUGAACUCUGAAGCAGACGGUCCCCCGGCGUGUGCAAGGGUAACCCUGUGAAGCGUUAGCUGAAAUUCCUCCGAAUCAAAUGACUAGACUCGGUAAUGGAUAUCUCGGCUCUUGUGAUCCAUGAAUACAUGUAUUGAAAUGCGAUACUUGGUGUGAAUUGCAUAAUCUCAUGAACCAUUGAGGUCUUUGAACGCAAGUUGUGCCAGCUGCCUUGUGGUCGAGGGCACGCCUGCUUGGGCGUUAUGGUACAUCGUCCCCUCCAGGGGCUCCAUGCGUGCAAGUGGUUGGCGUGACCGCAGAAAUUGGCCCCGUGUGCCCUCGGGCACAGUCGGUCGAAGAUCAAUGGGCAGUCCGCAAUCCUCCGGCACCAUGGGCGUUGGUCGCCAUGAACGUAAACAAAAAAAUCCUCCUGCGUCGUUUUGGGAUGAGCCCUCCACUCAAGAAAGACCCUGUGGGAUAUGGCGGUCAUCGGAUAAAAUGGGCCAUGUCCAUCUACUUACUUGGGAGGCCCAAAUCAGGGGCGGCCCCCCCCCGAA